GAAUGGCUGAAUGCCGUGUACUUCCAUCAGUAAUUCACACAGCCAGAUGCCACGCAAAGCCGCAAAGCGGUCUUUCUUUAAGGCGACUGGCACACUGUUUUCUAUGGUAUAUCACAGUAAAAGUAAGUAGAAAG